rnacentral:pre_miRNA from 1 species
UGGGCUUCCUUUUCGUUCCCAGCUGAAUUUCUAAUCAUGCUGGCAAGACAAGGCAGUCUACU